rnacentral:lncRNA from 1 species
GAGGCGUUUCCUGCGCUGAGCCCAGGUCGUCCGGGGACAGCCAUCUGAGAGUUCAGCAGGAGCCACCUCUGGGCCGGGGCCCUGCGCUGGGGAAUCCAGUCUGCCACUCGUGACCACGACCUGGUGCUAUCACGCCCCGAGCCUCGGCUUCUACCCACCAGGGUCACAGUCUGCUUUUAGGGUGGUGAGGACUCCAGAUGAUGUCCCUGCCGCGUGAUCGUCGUGACAGGCUCCACGACAGCCCAGGAAGCUGCUUGUCUUUGCAGUUGGAGGGGGCUGAGCUAAGAAGCCGAGCACCGGGCGGUCCGGGAGUGGGGAGCAGUCACGGCAGCCCCACGAGCGCUCUGCUGUGCCACCAGCCGACGAUGGACUAAAACCUCCACAGGGGCCGGGGAUUUAGCUCAGCGGUUCGGUGGCCUGCCUUGCAAGCGCAAGGACCUGAGUUCAAUCCCUGGUACCUGGUAAUGCCACCAGCCGACGAUGGACUAAAACCUCCACAGGGGCCGGGGAUUUAGCUCAGCGGUUCGGUGGCCUGCCUUGCAAGCGCAAGGACCUGAGUUCAAUCCCUGGUACCAAAUAAUAAUAAUAAAUAAAUAAAAUAAAACCUCCGCAGAGUGUGAACCAAAAUAAACCUUUCCUCCUUUAAAUGGUGAGUGUCAGCUAUUUUGCCCCAGG